rnacentral:misc_RNA from 1 species
GGAAGUAAAAGCGUAACAAGGUUUCCGUAGGUGAGCCUGCGGAAGGAUCAUUAUUGUAUAACCGAGGUGCGAGGGCUGUCGCUGACCCGAAAGGUCGUGCACGCCCGAGUGCCCUCACACACAUCCAUCUCACCCCUAUGUGCACCACCGCGUGGGUCCCCCUUUGGCUUGUUCGGAGGGGGGCUUACGUUUUCACACAAACUUCGUAUGCAGUGUAGAAUGUAUUUUUUGUUUUUGCGAUCACGCAAUCAAUACAACUUUCAACAACGGAUCUCUUGGCUCUC